rnacentral:rRNA from 1 species
GACGAACCGUGCGAACGUUGUUCGGAAUCACUGGGCUUAAGGGCGCGUAGGCGGCUAACCAAGUCAGGGGUGAAAUCCUGGAGCUCAACUCCAGAACUGCCUUUGAUACUGAGAAGCUUGAGUCCGGAAGAGGAGAGUGGAAUUCCCGGUGUAGCGGUGAAAUGCGCAGAUAUCGGGAAGAACACCCGUGGCGAAGGCGGCUCUCUGGGACGGUACUGACGCUGAGACGCGAAAGCGUGGGGAGCGAACAGG